UAUGUGAACCGUUUGCAGUGGUGGUGUUUACCUUUUUUAUUGACACAAACCAAAAAUGUAAUCAGAAUGUUACCUUUAUAUGUUACAAAAAAGUAUGAUUUUUCUUUCAUUUUAAUUUUUCUAAAGCUUGCAAAUAAACGUAUUCAGAAUAUGCAACACCUAAAGAAAGAGAAGAGGAGACUGAAUAAAAGGUUUUCAAGGCCUUCUCCUAUUCCAGAACCAGGACUCCUAUGGUCAUCUUGAUAAAGCAGGAGUCUAUUUGAAGGAAACCAUGCUCCAGACAGAAAUAUGUGGAUUGUGAACAUCAAGUGACAUAUCAUGAAUUGAUCAUCCACAAAAUAAAUGCAAUACUCCACCAUUUCGGAAAAAUAAAC
rnacentral:lncRNA from 1 species